ACGGCUCAGUAACACGUGGACAAUCUAACCUACGGAAGAGGAUAACCCCGGGAAACUGGGGAUAAUACUCUAUAGACUAUGGAGGCUGGAAUGCACUGUAGUCCAAAGGUCCGCCGCCGUAGGAUGGGUCUGCGGCCGAUUAGGUUGUUGUUGGGGUAACGGCCCAACAAGCCUGUAAUCGGUACGGGUUGUGGGAGCAAGAGCCCGGAGAUGGAUUCUGAGACACGAAUCCAGGCCCUACGGGGCGCAGCAGGCGCGAAAACUUUACAAUGCGGGAAACCGUGAUAAGGGAACUCCGAGUGCCCGUAAAAUCGGGCUGUCCAUCAGUUUAAAUAACUGGUGAAGAAAGGGCCGGGCAAGACCGGUGCCAGCCGCCGCGGUAAUACCGGCGGCUCGAGUGGUGGCCACUAUUACUGGGCUUAAAGCGUUCGUAGCUGGUUUGUUAAGUCUCUGGGGAAAUCUUCCGGCUUAACCGGAAGGCGUCUCAGGGAUACUGGCAGACUAGGGACCGGGAGAGGUGAGGGGUACUCCAGGGGUAGGAGUGAAAUCCUGUAAUCCUUGGGGGACCACCUGUGGCGAAGGCGCCUCACCAGAACGGCUCCGACAGUGAGGGACGAAAGCUGGGGGAGCAAACCGGAUUAGAUACCCGGGUAGUCCCAGCCGUAAACGAUGUGCAUUAGGUGUAUCGGUGACCACGAGUCACCGAGGUGCCGAAGAGAAAUCGUGAAAUGCACCGCCUGGGAAGUACGGUCGCAAGGCUGAAACUUAAAGGAAUUGGCGGGGGAGCAC
rnacentral:rRNA from 1 species